rnacentral:rRNA from 1 species
AACGAACGCUGGCGGCGUGCCUAACACAUGCAAGUCGUGCGAGAAAGUUCCUUCGGGAGCGAGUAAAGCGGCGCACGGGUGAGUAACACGUAGGUAACCUGCCCCCCAGUCUGGAACAACUAGAGGAAACUCUAGCUAAUGCCGGAUGAGACCACGAUCCCUUCGGGGGUUGCGGCCAAAGAUGGCCUCUACUUGUAAGCUAUCGCUGAGGGAUGGGCCUGCGGGCCAUUAGCUUGUUGGUGAGGUAACGGCUCACCAAGGCUGUGAUGGCUAGCUGGUCUGAGAGGAUGACCAGCCACACUGGGACUGAGACACGGCCCAGAUUCCUACGGGAGGCAGCAGUGGGGAAUAUUGCGCAAUGGGCGAAAGCCUGACGCAGCGACGCCGCGUGGGUGAUGAAGGCC